GACAGAGGAGCCAAGCGUUGUCCGGAUUGACUGGGCGUAAAGGGCUCGUAGGCGGUUUGUCGCGUCGGGAGUGAAAACCAUGGGCUUAACUCAUGGCUUGCUUCCGAUACGGGCAGACUAGAGGCAUGCAGGGGAGAACGGAAUUCCUGGUGUAGCGGUGAAAUGCGCAGAUAUCAGGAGGAACACCGGUGGCGAAGGCGGUUCUCUGGGCAUGUCCUGACGCUGAGGAGCGAAAGUGUGGGGAGCGAACAGG
rnacentral:rRNA from 1 species